ACGUACGCUGGCGGCACGCCUAACACAUGCAAGUCGAGCGAGGUAGCAAUACCUAGCGGCAGACGGGUGCGUAACAUGUGGGAAUCUGCCUUUUGGUUCGGAACAACAUGGGGAAACCUGUGCUAAUACCGGAUAAGUCCUAACGGAGAAAGUUUUAAUGCCAAAAGAUGAGCCCGCAUUUGAUUAGCUUGUUGGUGAGGUAAAAGCUCACCAAGGCUAUAAUCAAUAGCUGAUUUGAGAGGAUGAUCAGCCACACUGGGACUGAGAUACGGCCCAGACUCCUACGGGAGGCAGCAGUGGGGAAUCUUGC
rnacentral:rRNA from 1 species